AGCCCUAGAUAGUAUUUAAGGUGUGACCUGCCCAAUGGUUAUAGAUUAAAAACAAAUGAAAAAUUGUUAAAUAUAAUUUAAAGGACGCGGUAACCUUGACCGUGAUAAUGUAGCAUAAUCACUCGCCAUUUAAUUGAUGGAUAGUAUGAAUGGUUAAACGAAUUUUCCACUGUCUUAAAUAGAGAAUAAAAAAAAUUGAAAUAAUAGUUAAGAUGCUAUUUAAAAUUGUAAGACGAAAAGACCCUAUAGAGCUUAACUACAAUCUUUUUAAUAUACACAGAAAGGUAGGUAGUUUAAUUGGGGCGAUUAUCUUCUAAAAUAAACGAAGACGAGUAAAUCAAUAAAAAAAAUAAUAAUUGUUUAAUUAAUAAAUUUAACAAAUACAAUAGUAGACUAUAAUGACCCGUUAUUAAUUAAUAAAAAUAGUAACGAUCAACAAAUAAAAGCUACCUUAGGGAUAACAGGAUAAUUUCACUUUAGAGAUCUUAUCGAAAGUGAAGUUUGUCACCUCUAUGUUGAAUUAAGACAUCCCGAUAAUGCAGAAGUUAUCAACGGUAGGUCUGUUCGACCUUUAAAGUCUUA
rnacentral:rRNA from 1 species